rnacentral:rRNA from 1 species
GUGGGGAAUAUUGGACAAUGGGGGGAACCCUGAUCCAGCCAUGCCGCGUGUGUGAAGAAGGCCUUUUGGUUGUAAAGCACUUUAAGCGAGGAGGAGGCUACCGAGAUUAAUACUCUUGGAUAGUGGACGUUACUCGCAGAAUAAGCACCGGCUAACUCUGUGCCAGCAGCCGCGGUAAUACAGAGGGUGCAAGCGUUAAUCGGAUUUACUGGGCGUAAAGCGCGCGUAGGUUGCAAAUUAAGUCAAAUGUGAAAUCCCCGAGCUUCACUUGGGAAUUGCAUUCGAUACUGGUUGGCUAGAGUAUGGGAGAGGAUGGUAGAAUUCCAGGUGUAGCUGUGAAAUGCGUAGAGAUCUGGAGGAAUACCGAUGGCGAAGGCAGCCAUCUGGCCUAAUACUGACACUGAGGUGCGAAAGCAUGGGGAGCAAACAGGAUUAGAAACCCCAGUAGUCC